rnacentral:lncRNA from 10 species
CAGAACCCUGGCUGCCUUCCAGACCCUUGGAGGAAACACAAAUGAGAGAUUCAUUGUCCCAAAUUCUGAGAACUCCUGAGGAAAGAUCCAAAAGUAAUAUGGCUCAAGAUUUUUGAACUGCCCAGGCUCUACUCAGGCUCUUGGACAUCUUGCCCAUCUCAAAGGUCUCUCCUGCCUACUGCCGGCCCUACCCACAAGAUGUGAACUUCAGAGCCUUCUUGCAACUGCUUCUUGGCUAUUUUCACCCUCUAACCCUCUGGAAGAAGAAUGAGGACUAUUAUGAAGGCAAAAGCAUAAAAGGGGAAAAGAUUAGCCUCCAGAGUAGGAAGAUUGGGUUGUUGGAAGCCAGCACAAGUCUUCCCCUGAAAGAGUUAAUUCGCCUCCAAUGGGGGUAGGGACUGACCUGGGAGGGGCCUCAGCCUACAUAGGACAGGCCUAAAGGCCCCAUUGGGGCUGAAGGUGACACUGGGUCAGAUCCCUAGGAUUCUGCAACUUGAGGUGGGAGUGUCUAUAAGCUGGAAACAAAAGUUUCAAAAAAAAAAAAAAAG